GCCGGGCGCGGUGGCUCAAGCCUGUAAUCCCAGCACUUUGGGAGGCCGAGACGGGCGGAUCACGAGGUCAGCAGAUCGAGACCACCCUGGCUAACACGGUGAAACCCCGUCUCUACUAAAAANNNNNNNNNNUUUUUAGUAGAGACGGGGUUUCACCGUGUUAGCCAGGGUGGUCUCGAUCUGCUGACCUCGUGAUCCGCCCGUCUCGG
rnacentral:SRP_RNA from 1 species